rnacentral:rRNA from 1 species
GACGAACGCUGGCGGCGUGCUUAACACAUGCAAGUCGAACGGAAAGGCCCUGCUUGCAGGGUGCUCGCGUGGCGAACGGGUGAGUAACACGUGGGUGAUCUGCCCCUUAUUUUGGGAUAAGCCUGGGAAACUGGGUCUAAUACUGGAUAGGACCAUGCCGUAGGUGGUGUGGUGGUAAGAUUAGUUUCGGUAAGGGAUGAGCUCGCGGCCUAUCAGCUUGUUGGUGGGGUAAUGGCCGACCAAGGCGUCGACGGGUAGCCGGCCGGAGAGGGUGGACAGCCACAUUGGGGCUGAGAUGCGGCCCAGACUCCUACGGGGGGCAGCAGUGGGGAAUAUUGCACAAUGAGGGCAGGCCUGAUGCAGCGACGCCGCGUGGGGGAUGACGGCCUUCGUGUUGUAGUCUCCUUUCAGCCAUGACGAAGCCCUUGUGGUGACGGUAGUGGUAGAAGAAGCACCGGCUAACUACGUG